CCUACGGGCGGCAGCAGUGGGGAAUAUUGGGCAAUGGAGGCAACUCUGACCCAGCAACGCCGCGUGAGUGAUGACGGUCCUCGGAUUGUAAAACUCUUUAAGUGGGGACGAAGAAAGUGCCUGUACCCACAGACUAUGCUUCCGCUAACUACGUGACAGCAGCCGCGGUAAUACGUAGGAGGCAAGCGUUAUCCGGAAUGACUGGGCGUAAAGGGUGCGUAGGUGGUUCGGCAAGGUAGUAGCGUAAUUCCGGGGCGCAACCUGGGAACUGCAACUAAAACUGUUGGGCUUGAGUGCAGGAGAGGGAGGUGGAAUUCCUAGUGUAGCGGUGGAAUGCGUAGAUAUGAGGAAGAACACCGAUGGCGAAGGCAGUAUGCUGGACUGCAACUGACACUGAGGCACGAAAGCGUGGGGAGCAAACAGGAUUAGAUACCCGUGUAGUC
rnacentral:rRNA from 1 species